AUGCUGGAGGUAUCAGAAGUGCGAAUGCUGACAUAAGUAACGAUAAAGCGGGUGAAAAGCCCGCUCGCCGGAAGACCAAGGGUUCCUGUCCAACGUUAAUCGGGGCAGGGUGAGUCGACCCCUAAGGCGAGGCCGAAAGGCGUAGUCGAUGGGAAACAGGUUAAUAUUCCUGUACUUGGUGUUACUGCGAAGGGGGGACGGAGAAGGCUAUGUUGGCCGGGCGACGGUUGUCCCGGUUUAAGCGUGUAGGCUGGUUUUCCAGGCAAAUCCGGAAAACUAAGGCUGAGGCGUGAUGACGAGGCACUACGGUGCUGAAGCAACAAAUGCCCUGCUUCCAGGAAAAGCCUCUAAGCAUCAGGUAACAUCAAAUCGUACCCCAAACCGACACAGGUGGUCAGGUAGAGAAUACCAAGGCGCUUGAGAGAACUCGGGUGAAGGAACUAGGCAAAAUGGUGCCGUAACUUCGGGAGAAGGCACGCUGAUAUGUAGGUGAAGUCCCUCGCGGAUGGAGCUGAAAUCAGUCGAAGAUACCAGCUGGCUGCAACUGUUUAUUAAAAACACAGCACUGUGCAAACACGAAAGUGGACGUAUACGGUGUGACGCCUGCCCGGUGCCGGAAGGUUAAUUGAUGGGGUCAGCGCAAGCGAAGCUCUUGAUCGAAGCCCCGGUAAACGGCGGCCGUAACUAUAACGGUCCUAAGGUAGCGAAAUUCCUUGUCGGGUAAGUUCCGACCUGCACGAAUGGCGUAAUGAUGGCCAGGCUGUCUCCACCCGAGACUCAGUGAAAUUGAACUCGCUGUGAAGAUGCAGUGUACCCGCGGCAAGACGGAAAGACCCCGUGAACCUUUACUAUAGCUUGACACUGAACAUUGAGCCUUGAUGUGUAGGAUAGGUGGGAGGCUUUGAAGUGUGGACGCCAGUCUGCAUGGAGCCGACCUUGAAAUACCACCCUUUAAUGUUUGAUGUUCUAACGUUGACCCGUGAUCCGGGUUGCGGACAGUGUCUGGUGGGUAGUUUGACUGGGGCGGUCUCCUCCUAAAGAGUAACGGAGGAGCACGAAGGUUGGCUAAUCCUGGUCGGACAUCAGGAGGUUAGUGCAAUGGCAUAAGCCAGCUUGACUGCGAGCGUGACGGCGCGAGCAGGUGCGAAAGCAGGUCAUAGUGAUCCGGUGGUUCUGAAUGGAAGGGCCAUCGCUCAACGGAUAAAAGGUACUCCGGGGAUAACAGGCUGAUACCGCCCAAGAGUUCAUAUCGACGGCGGUGUUUGGCACCUCGAUGUCGGCUCAUCACAUCCUGGGGCUGAAGUAGGUCCCAAGGGUAUGGCUGUUCGCCAUUUAAAGUGGUACGCGAGCUGGGUUUAGAACGUCGUGAGACAGUUCGGUCCCUAUCUGCCGUGGGCGCUGGAGAACUGAGGGGGGCUGCUCCUAGUACGAGAGGACCGGAGUGGACGCAUCACUGGUGUUCGGGUUGUCAUGCCAAUGGCACUGCCCGGUAGCUAAAUGCGGAAGAGAUAAGUGCUGAAAGCAUCUAAGCACGAAACUUGCCCCGAGAUGAGUUCUCCCUGACUCCUUGAGAGUCCUGAAGGAACGUUGAAGACGACGACGUUGAUAGGCCGGGUGUGUAAGCGCAGCGAUGCGUUGAGCUAACCGGUACUAAUGAACCGUGAGGCUUAACC
rnacentral:rRNA from 1 species